GACGAACGCUGGCGGCAUGCCUAAUACAUGCAAGUCGAGCGGAGUUGAUGGAAAGCUUGCUUUCCUGAUACUUAGCGGCGGACGGGUGAGUAACACGUAGGCAACCUGCCCUCAAGCUUGGGACAACUACCGGAAACGGUAGCUAAUACCGAAUACUUGUUUUCUUCGCCUGAAGAGAACUGGAAAGACGGAGCAAUCUGUCACUUGGGGAUGGGCCUGCGGCGCAUUAGCUAGUUGGUGAGGUAACGGCUCACCAAGGCGACGAUGCGUAGCCGACCUGAGAGGGUGAUCGGCCACACUGGGACUGAGACACGGCCCAGACUCCUACGGGAGGCAGCAGUAGGGAAUCUUCCGCAAUGGGCGAAAGCCUGACGGAGCAAUGCCGCGUGAGUGAUGAAGGUUUUCGGAUCGUAAGCUCUGUUGCCAGGGAAGAACGCUUGGGAGAGUAACUGCUCCCAAGGUGACGGUACCUGAGAAGAAAGCCCCGGCUAACUACGUGCCAGCCGCCGCAGUAA
rnacentral:rRNA from 1 species